UACGAAGGGGGCUAGCGUUGCUCGGAAUCACUGGGCGUAAAGCGCACGUAGGCGGCUUCUAAGUCAGGGGUGAAAUCCUGGAGCUCAACUCCAGAACUGCCUUUGAUACUGGAGUGCUUGAGUCCGGGAGAGGUGAGUGGAACUCCGAGUGUAGAGGUGAAAUUCGUAGAUAUUCGGAAGAACACCAGUGGCGAAGGCGGCUCACGUGGCCCGGUACGUGACGCUGAGGUGCGAAAGCGUGGGGAGCAAACAGGG
rnacentral:rRNA from 1 species